rnacentral:rRNA from 1 species
GACGAACCGUGCGAACGUUGUUCGGAAUCACUGGGCUUAAAGGGCGCGUAGGCGGCUCGCGAGGUCGGGGGUGAAAUCCCACGGCUUAACCGUGGAAGUGCCUUCGAUACCGGCGGGCUGGAGGAAGGUAGGGGUGCGCGGAACUUCUGGUGGAGCGGUGAAAUGCGUUGAUAUCAGAAGGAACGCCGGCGGCGAAAGCGGCGCACUGGACCUUUUCUGACGCUGAGGCGCGAAAGCCAGGGGAGCAAACGGGG